AUCCAAACGAUGAGUCCCAAAAUAGGAUGAAAUGCGUAUCCUGGAU
rnacentral:hammerhead_ribozyme from 1 species